rnacentral:tRNA from 2 species
GCCCGCUUAGCUCAGUUGGUUAGAGCGUGGUGCUAAUAACGCCAAGGUCACAGGUUCGACCCCUGUAGUGGGCA